GGAUAUGUAGGCUAUCUGGCUGUGACUCUGUCACCCCAGAUUGCCAGGUUGAUCCGGUUGAUCUGUGUAGGCUAGUAUCUCCUUCCUCCCUCACCCCUCCAUGUUUGUCCCUCCCAGAGCUAUGCUCUUGGUUGAAGAGGAUGACCACCCUUGAUAGAGGAGGAUGGUUUCUCCGGUCAAGGUUACUCC
rnacentral:snRNA from 1 species